GCAGUAGCCGCGGUAAUACGAGGGGUGCAAGCGUUAUUCGGAUUGAUUGGGUGUAAAGGGUGUGCAGACGGCUUAUUAAGUCACUUGUUAAAUUCUUCGGCCUAACUGAAGGUCUGCAAGUGAUACUGAUGAGCUAGAGGGUGGAAGAGAGAAGUGGAAUUCUCGGAGUAGCGGUAAAAUGCGUAGAUCUCGAGAGGAACACCAAUGGCGAAGGCAGCUUCUUGGUCCAUUCCUGACGUUCAUACACGAAAGCGUGGGGAGCAAACAGGAUUAGAUACCCCCGUAGUCCCUGUCUCUUAUAA
rnacentral:rRNA from 1 species